CUUCUUUGGUUGAUUGGUUGGUAGCCCAACUGCACCAGAUUAGUGGAUAAGAUGGCGGCGGAUGGGAGAAAAGAAGUUUUUGAAGGGUAAGAUUCCAGAUUCCUUUAGAGUAGGUGCAGUUUAGCAUCAAGUGGUCCCUUAUUUCAGCUUCCCAAUAGCACGGGGGAUAAGAGUCAGGGCCUUAAAUACCUUUCUUUCAUAGAAUUUUCGUGGUAAGGAUUUUGUCAUUAAAACAUAGCCAGUUGAAAACCUUGACUUUCUCAGGGAUGGGAACCUUUCACACCAAGAGACCGAUGACAGAUAGAAGUCCACCAU
rnacentral:lncRNA from 1 species